GUUCCUUUUGUAGUCAAACAGCCGGGAUCUUCUUUUAAUUUAAAAAUGCAUUUGGGUCAUGGCAGGGGGCGGUGUUUGAAGCCAUCACCCUCCUAUGGAGCUAGUCAGCGGGUGAGGCGGGUGCGCUGUAGGGAUGGGCGCUGGGCUGGAGAAAGGAAGGUUGUAGCCUUAGUUGGUUUGGACUUGCUCAGCAACCUUUUUUUAAAUUGGUGCCUCUUGCUGAUUGUUUGACUUGUUGGGUUUUUAAUAUACAGGCGUUACUCACAGGCCAAUCAAAGCUUUUGGCGGACAAAGGGAAGUUUCCAAUUGGUUGAGGUUGUUUGAGGCGGAGAGAGGGAGCCACAUGAUGACAUCAUAAAAUAAAGGGUCAGGACAUUUAAGGGCUGCUGUAGGAUGAGCGAAGAAAAAAGGCCGUAAGCCACAAAAGAAAUGCUAUGAACUGCUCUUUGAUUUUUCUCUCCCUAAAAUCAGACUUUUGACAUGAUUUUUAGCUCCGUCUCAAGUCAGAACUUGGCCCAUGUUACUUCGCCUGCAGAUUGAGAGGAUGGGUAGCCUUAGGGGUUGGUUGUUAUCUUUGGUUAUCUAGCUGUAUGAGUGAUGUACAUUCUUCAUAAAGCUAGAUAACCGAAAGUAACAAGAAUCCCAUUACACUCCUGAAAAGGCAUCAAGACCCCAAAUGCGCCUCCCUACAAGAAAAUGCAAACUUUGCCAGAAGAAUUGUAACAUGAGAGAAGAAAAUGGACUACAUUUUAAAGAAGACGGGAAUGCGAUGCAACAAAAGGCUACCACAUUACUGAAGGAAAGCUGGCAAAAGAAGACUGAAAAACAGAGAAGGAGGAGGGGUUGUUGUUGAUUCUGCCCUCCCUCUCUCCUCGCCCUCCACUGCAUUGCCUCUUCCCUCCUCCUCUUCCCUUCCUCAUCCACUCCAUCCUCAGCAGACUGCCCCUUUUUCCUGUACAGCGAAACGCAGCCCGCGCCACCAUCUUAGAGCAACGCUGGCAUGAAAUGGAAGUGGGAAGACCAGUCAGUGCAGAUAAAUGUGAUUGGUGCAGGGGGAUCCAGAAUGGACAGAGCACACAAAAGGAGGACGGUGGGACUCCUCCUUCAUUCGCUGCCUUUUAGCUGGAGUAAACACGGAGGAUGGCGAUGCUGUCUGCAUGCGAGCCGGCAGUGAUUCCUGCCAUAACUGUGGAACGCUGUGUAUGUCUCCUUGAUGCAUCGCUCGAACCAACACUCAGCCUGGACUGCUUGUGAAUGACUUUUGGUGUUUUAACUGAGCAAACAUCAUGGACUCCAAUCAUGGAAACCUGUGGGACUCGUUGGAAAAUAAGCAGCCCGAAGGCUGGAGGAACUGCUUGAUAAUUGUGACUCUUAAUUCUUUUAUUUGUAGAUGUGGCACUGAAUUUUGUAAUUAUUAUCCUAUAUUUGAUUGUAAAAAAAUAUUGUUUAGACAUGAAGGAAUAUAAUCUGUCCUCAGCUGUCAUAGGCUCCACUUAAUGUAGGUUGUAUUUGAUGAUUUGUAGCCCAUAUUUUGCUCAUUUUCUCUUUUGUUAUAGUUGCUAGGACUCAAAAGACAUGUGAAUGUGAGACCCACGGCAGCAGUGAAUAAUACUGCACUGCGAUUGGACAGCUCCGUGUGUCAGCUGACACAAUGGCGAAGGAGUGAGCUGUCGUCUUUAUACUCUAUGCAACUGUUCUCUUUUUUUCCUUUCUUUAUUGUUUAGGGGAAAAAAACCUUUUCAUAUUUAUUUUGGAUUAUGUUUUGAGCCAUCAGUUUACAGAAAUUCCUUCAGACAUCAUCAAGAGAAAUGGUUUAUGAGGUGCUGACGUUCCAGUUAUUAAUAUAGUGAAACAGAAAUUACAGUCAGGAUGUGUGUGUGAGUGUGUGACAGAUGACAGGAUACAGCAUUUUCAUCAGUGGAUGGAUUGAAUCUCAUAUUUGCAGCUUUCGACUGUGCAGCCAUGAGCCAGAGUCUGAGUAAAUGUGGACUCAAGCAUUUAAUAUUCCUGAUGGUUGGAGUGUGUUUGAUCAGCAGGAAGUAGCUCUGCGUGUAUACAGAACAUGCCACACUAUUAAAAGCUGCUCCCUAUAGCAGUCGUUGAGGCACAGCAGUUUGGCACAUAAUAGUUACCUGCUUUAGUGUAAUGAUACAUCUUUGGGUGAGACAUGACAAAUACAUUGGCUUCAAACACUGCCUUAAUUUCCUGUUCUUGACAUUAACACACAGCGACACACACGCCCGCACACACACAUGCACCCAAAUGCAAUAAGGCAAGUACUAUCAGGGCCUAAUUCAUUCUAUAUUAAUUUUCGGGAAGUGGCAAAUUUUUUAUUACGAUUGAUAAUCUAUGCAAAUCUUUUAAAUAUUACUUUAGACAAUCUAUGUCUAUGCAGCGCUUUUGCAAUUGAUUCAAGGGAGACUAUCUUGGCCUAAUUUAGAAAAUGUAUUCUUUUGAUAAUCAUGCACAUCCCAGUGCUCAAGACAAUUACUUAUCUGCCUGGAUAAGCUUGAAAUUAUGUUUUUAAUCUCUAGCAAAAAAAAGUCACUCUUCUGAAAUCAGUCCAGAGGCUUGAAAACCAUGAAUUGUGGUCUAAAAUAAUUAAAUCAGUUGCACUAAAUCUCCCUUUUCCUUAAAUGUAGAUCAAAUAUAUCUAUUUAGCUUUGAAUAGCAUACUGUUUAUAUAAGCAACAAUGUUUGUAUUAUGCAAUCUCAUCUUUGUGAAUGAGUGUUCACCACACGUGCCUUUGUAUGGAAAACUGUUGAAAUAGUAAUAAAGGUUUACAAUGAAAACAAUG
ensembl:lncRNA